GACGAACGCUGGCGGCGUGCCUAAUACAUGCAAGUAGAACGCUGAAGGAGGAGCUUGCUCUUCUGGAUGAGUUGCGAACGGGUGAGUAACGCGUAGGUAACCUGCCUGGUAGUGGGGGAUAACUAUUGGAAACGAUAGCUAAUACCGCAUAAUAACAGUUGUUGCAUGACAACUGUUUGAAAGGUGCAAUUGCAUCACUACCAGAUGGACCUGCGUUGUAUUAGCUAGUUGGUGGGGUAACGGCUCACCAAGGCGACGAUACAUAGCCGACCUGAGAGGGUGAUCGGCCACACUGGGACUGAGACACGGCCCAGACUCCUACGGGAGGCAGCAGUAGGGAAUCUUCGGCAAUGGACGAAAGUCUGACCGAGCAACGCCGCGUGAGUGAAGAAGGUUUUCGGAUCGUAAAGCUCUGUUGUAAGAGAAGAACGAGUGUGAGAGUGGAAAGUUCACAG
rnacentral:rRNA from 1 species